UCCGGACAUGGAUCAAUAAGGUUGACUCCAUACGCCUUUUAGAAGAAAUACACUACUCGAGGUCACACUCCUACAACACCUAUGAACGCACCUGGAGCCCGUGGCUACACUUCCUAAAAACUGAUGAGACCUCCAGAACACCAACUCCCAACCAACUUACUUAAAAGGUCUAUACACCCCCCCUCCCCCACCCCCCAAUUGCACUCCUCCCACGUAAAGUAUGUAAAGUAUUUAAGGACCGCACCGCUCACGCUCACUACCUCAUCCCCUAAGCGACUAUCUGAUAGAAUGUCUGUCCACUCUGCAAGUCUGGAGGACCCCAAUACUGAGGGAAAGGGAGCUCCCCCCCCCCACUCCCUUUAUAGUUUGACAACUCUGGCUGGACACAAUUUAGUGGGACUUAGUGGUUUCACAAAAGUAUAAAUUGAGAGGUUGAACCACAUCUACUAUGGCAAAUCAACCAGCAACACCUGGUCUGUGAACCCACAGCACCCAGACUGGAACUUACACUUACCAACCCCACCACAACCUGUACGACCCCGCCAAAAUCAACUCAAUUUAUUUAUCUCUUUCUUUAACGCCUCUAAGAUCUCUAUAACCUACCUGACACAAAUAAGUUAGACAGGACCAGCCAGAGUGAAGUUAAUGCACAAUGUUGAAUGUUUGAAAAUUUACUGAUGAAUAUUGUUUACUGCUCAGAACUGACCCAUAAGUGCAUAAUGGAAUGUGGACAUCAUACCUUGCGACCCGGAAGAAUUCUUCCAACGACAUUCCUCACACUAUCUUGGCUCCACAACAUGACACCAUGUUCUGCUCAUUAUGUUAUGUACUCUAUGUUAACUCAAUGUACAGCUCUGUUUGUAUGAAAAUUUUUGACAAUAAAGACAAAAUAAAAAAAA
rnacentral:lncRNA from 1 species